UACGGGGGGGGUAAGCGUUGUUCGGAAUUACUGGGCGUAAAGGGCGCGUAGGCGGCGCGGUAAGUCACUUGUGAAAUCUCUGAGCUUAACUCAGAACGGCCAAGUGAUACUGCAGUGCUAGAGUGUGGAAGGGGCAAUCGGAAUUCUUGGUGUAGCGGUGAAAUGCGUAGAUAUCAAGAGGAACACCUGAGGUGAAGACGGGUUGCUGGGCCAACACUGACGCUGAUGCGCGAAAGCCAGGGGAGCAAACGGG
rnacentral:rRNA from 1 species